rnacentral:rRNA from 1 species
CAGUAGCCGCGGGAAAACGAAGGGGGCUAGCGUUGCUCGGAAUGACUGGGCGUAAAGGGCGCGUAGGCGGCGGCCAAAGUCAGACGUGAAAUUCCUGGGCUCAACCUGGGGGCUGCGUUUGAUACUUGGUUGCUUGAGUGGGGAAGAGGGUCGUGGAAUUCCCAGUGUAGAGGUGAAAUUCGUAGAUAUUGGGAAGAACACCGGUGGCGAAGGCGGCGACCUGGUCCUUGACUGACGCUGAGGCGCGAAAGCGUGGGGAGCAAACAGGAUUAGAGACCCGAGUAGUCCCUGUCUCUUAUAC